rnacentral:tRNA from 1 species
UCCCUGGCAGUCCAGUGGUUAGGACUCAACGCUUUCGCUGCAGAGGACCUGGGUUCAAUCCCUGGUCAGGGAA